rnacentral:rRNA from 1 species
CCUACGGGAGGCAGCAGUGGGGAAUAUUGCACAAUGGGGGAAACCCUGAUGCAGCGACGCCGCGUGAGUGAAGAAGGAUUUCGGGAUGUAAAGCUCUAUCAGCAGGGAAGAAAAUGACGGUACCUGAAUAAGAAGCCACGGCUAACGACGUGACAGCAGCCGCGGGAAUACGUAGGGGGCAAGCGUUAUCCGGAUUGACUGGGGGUAAAGGGAGCGGAGACGGCAGCACAAGUCUGGAGUGAAAUGCCGGGGCUUAACCCCGGAACUGCUUUGGAAACUGUGCAGCUAGAGUGCAGGAGAGGUAAGUGGAAUUCCUAGUGUAGCGGUGCAAUGCGUAGAUAUUAGGAGGAACACCAGUGGCGAAGGCGGCUUACUGGACUGUACCUGACGUUGAGGCUCGAAAGCGUGGGGAGCAACCAGGAUUAGAUACCCCGGUAGUC